UACUAGAAUGAGAAAUGAAAAAUAAUCUGUAGUAAAAGUAUCAUUAAUGAUAUGAUCUGGGUUGUUUUUUACACACGACUGCAGGGUUGAGGUUUGUUUUAUUUUUAGUGCAAUAGAUACAUUUCUGUCAGCGGCAGUUGCUCGACUUGAGCCAAUACUGGUAAUAUUUUUUUUCCUUAAAGUCGGCGGUAAUACAAAGAGUGAAAGUGAAACAACGAAAGAAAAUAAAAAUUGGAUAAUUUGAAAAGAUUAAUAUGCAUAAACAUUCGCUGGUUGGUGGUUGGUUGGUGGUAAAAUGGUUUUAUGGCACUGCGCUAGCGGAUCUUGCAACGGAUUCAGCUAAACUGCGAGGAUAUGCCUGUGAAGGUAAGAAUUUUCUUGGACCUUCUUUAAUGUAUGUGGUGUGCGAAGAGUAAAGUAUUAAGACCUAACGUUGACCCAAUAGCUGAACGGUAUCACAACAGACCGUGUCAGGAUGCCGGAACUCUGGUAGAUAUACUAAGCCUUCAGCACAAUGUAUCCGAUGAUCCCGUAUUGCGUCACGACCAAUUGUAAUAAACUUUCAACCAGCGUUCAA